CUCAGCAUAGCUCAGUUGGAAGAGCGCGGGACUGUAAUGGUUAACUCGUUAUCCCGAUGUCGCUGGUUCGAUCCCGGCUGCUGAGA
rnacentral:tRNA from 1 species